ACAGGGAUUGCCCUAGUAACGGCGAGUGAAGCGGCAACAGCUCAAAUUUGAAAUCUGGCGUCUUCGGCGUCCGAGUUGUAAUUUGCAGAGGGCGCUUUGGCAUUGGCAGCGGUCCAAGUUCCUUGGAACAGGACGUCACAGAGGGUGAGAAUCCCGUACGUGGUCGCUAGCCUUUACCGUGUAAAGCCCCUUCGACGAGUCGAGUUGUUUGGGAAUGCAGCUCUAAAUGGGAGGUAAAUUUCUUCUAAAGCUAAAUACUGGCCAGAGACCGAUAGCGCACAAGUAGAGUGAUCGAAAGAUGAAAAGCACUUUGGAAAGAGAGUUAAAAAGCACGUGAAAUUGUUGAAAGGGAAGCGCUUGCAGCCAGACUUGCCUGUAGUUGCUCAUCCGGGUUUUUACCCGGUGCACUCUUCUACGGGCAGGCCAGCAUCAGUUUGGGCGGUUGGAUAAAGGUCUCUGUCAUGUACCUCCUCUCGGGGAGAACUUAUAGGGGAGACGACAUGCAACCAGCCCGGACUGAGGUCCGCGCAUCUGCUAGGAUGCUGGCGUAAUGGCUGUAAGCGGCCCGUCUUGAAACACGGACCAAGGAGUCUAACAUCUAUGCGAGUGUUUGGGUGUCAAGCCCGAGCGCGUAAUGAAAGUGAACGGAGGUGGGAACCUUUCGGGGUGCACCAUCGACCGAUCCUGAUGUCUUCGGAUGGAUUUGAGUAAGAGCAUAGCUGUUGGGACCCGAAAGAUGGUGAACUAUGCUUGAAUAGGGUGAAGCCAGAGGAAACUCUGGUGGAGGCUCGCAGCGGUUCUGACGUGCAAAUCGAUCGUCAAAUUUGGGCAUAGGGGCGAAAGACUAAUCGAACUAUCUAGUAGCUGGUUCCUGCCGAAGUUUCCCUCAGGAUAGCAGUAACGUUUUCAGUUUUAUGAGGUAAAGCGAAUGAUUAGAGGACUGGGGGAUGAAACAUCCUU
rnacentral:rRNA from 2 species